CAGCCGCGGUAAUACCAGCUCCACUAGCGUAUACUAAAGUUGUUGCUGUUAAAACGCUCGUAGUUGGAUAUCAGUCGGGGCGAGCAUGGCCCGGUUGUGUUACACAGCCGCGCGUCAAAGCGUUCUACGCGCUCCCGCGACUUAAUUCAGGAGUGCUGGUCUGCCCAUUCACUUGGGUCGGCCGGUGUGUCCUGAUCUUUAACUUUGAGAAAAUUAGUGUGCUCAAAGCAGGCCGGCGCCUGAAUGCAUUAGCAUGGAA
rnacentral:rRNA from 1 species